rnacentral:lncRNA from 1 species
GCCGCAUCGUCGUCCGUCGAGACUGUUGCCUGCAUCCCUUGUUGUGACGAAAAUGCCCAUAUGAUGCGGUUCCAGCCGCAUCGUUAUGUUCAUCUUCUUUUACAUACAAGGUAAGGCUUCUUAUCCUCAGACCGAUUGGAUUCAAAGGAUGUGACCGCAUGGGUGCGGUUCAUUACUGGUGGGGGUUUGCUUGAUACGGGUGAUGGUCGAUUUAGGACCAUACCCCUUCAAGGCCAAAAGGGUUAGAAAAAAAGAUGUUGGGGUCGAAAAGGGUUAGAAAAAAAACGUUGAGGGCUCGGUUGUUAAUAAAUUCUUUUU